UUGAACGCUGGCGGCAGGCCUAACACAUGCAAGUCGAGCGGUAGCACAGAGAGCUUGCUCUCGGGUGACGAGCGGCGGACGGGUGAGUAAUGUCUGGGAAACUGCCUGAUGGAGGGGGAUAACUACUGGAAACGGUAGCUAAUACCGCAUAACGUCGCAAGACCAAAGUGGGGGACCUUCGGGCCUCAUGCCAUCAGAUGUGCCCAGAUGGGAUUAGCUGGUAGGUGGGGUAACGGCUCACCUAGGCGACGAUCCCUAGCUGGUCUGAGAGGAUGACCAGCCACACUGGAACUGAGACACGGUCCAGACUCCUACGGGAGGCAGCAGUGGGGAAUAUUGCACAAUGGGCGCAAGCCUGAUGCAGCCAUGCCGCGUGUGUGAAGAAGGCCUUCGGGUUGUAAAGCACUUUCAGCGGGGAGGAAGGCGGUGAGGUUAAUAACCUCAUCGAUUGACGUUACCCGCAGAAGAAGCACCGGCUAACUCCGUGCCAGCAGCCGCGGUAAUACGGAGGGUGCAAGCGUUAAUCGGAAUUACUGGGCGUAAAGCGCACGCAGGCGGUCUGUCAAGUCGGAUGUGAAAUCCCCGGGCUCAACCUGGGAACUGCAUUCGAAACUGGCAGGCUAGAGUCUUGUAGAGGGGGGUAGAAUUCCAGGUGUAGCGGUGAAAUGCGUAGAGAUCUGGAGGAAUACCGGUGGCGAAGGCGGCCCCCUGGACAAAGACUGACGCUCAGGUGCGAAAGCGUGGGGAGCAAACAGGAUUAGAUACCCUGGUAGUCCACGCUGUAAACGAUGUCGAUUUGGAGGUUGUGCCCUUGAGGCGUGGCUUCCGGAGCUAACGCGUUAAAUCGACCGCCUGGGGAGUACGGCCGCAAGGUUAAAACUCAAAUGAAUUGACGGGGGCCCGCACAAGCGGUGGAGUAUGUGGUUUAAUUCGAAGCAACGCGAAGAACCUUACCUGGUCUUGACAUCCACAGAACUUUCCAGAGAUGGAUUGGUGCCUUCGGGAACUGUGAGACAGGUGCUGCAUGGCUGUCGUCAGCUCGUGUUGUGAAAUGUUGGGUUAAGUCCCGCAACGAGCGCAACCCUUAUCCUUUGUUGCCAGCGGUUAGGCCGGGAACUCAAAGGAGACUGCCAGUGAUAAACUGGAGGAAGGUGGGGAUGACGUCAAGUCAUCAUGGCCCUUACGACCAGGGCUACACACGUGCUACAAUGGCAUAUACAAAGAGAAGCGACCUCGCGAGAGCAAGCGGACCUCAUAAAGUAUGUCGUAGUCCGGAUUGGAGUCUGCAACUCGACUCCAUGAAGUCGGAAUCGCUAGUAAUCGUAGAUCAGAAUGCUACGGUGAAUACGUUCCCGGGCCUUGUACACACCGCCCGUCACACCAUGGGAGUGGGUUGCAAAAGAAGUAGGUAGCUUAACCUUCGGGAGGGCGCUUACCACUUUGUGAUUCAUGACUGGGGUG
rnacentral:rRNA from 1 species